rnacentral:lncRNA from 1 species
GCGGGAAGAAGAUUCAGAACUACAGGGAAAAUAAGCAAUGCAGUCAUUUCUCAACAGGCAGGCUGUUUUCAGGGGGCACUUGGCGACCCUCGCCUUGACAGAAGUGAGGCACAGUAUGCUGUUUGUGAAGAUGAAACCCUGUACGUGUGUUCAGAGGGCUGAGAUUUAUGGAAACAUGAGGGAUUUUAAAAAGAAGAAACCUCCCUGUGCCUGGCUGCAGGGGCAGGGGCAGUGGGGCCUCUCCUCCCUGGUGGUGCCAAGAGACCUGCCUCCUGGAAGUCACUGUUAGGCAAAAGUUCCGGUCAGAACCUCGUCUGACCUUCUGUGGGUUGCGAUCCAGACACAUGGAGGAGGUUGAGGCUCCACUGGGAGGGCAGGCUUGCCGUCCAGAAAUAGAGCUGGGAUAUGGAGUGUUUGAAAAGUCCCAGGACUUCUGGGGGACAAGCCUUGAAGUGUCAUGUUCCAGAUUGCACCAGUCUCUGGAAUCUACAAUUCUGGGGCUCUGUGUCUCCUCUGCGCAUCAGUUGAGCCCAACAACAGCAACAACACUGCUUGGGGUAGUGGAGCCAGCUAACGCCUGUACUUGGAGUUGCUUGGCUUCUUUGGAAAAAUGUGACCUGUUCCAGCCGGGAGUGAGAUCCAGAGAAGGGAAAGUGCAUCUGGCACGGGCCUGCCUUCUCUCCGAGAGGGAGUGUUUCCAUGGAAGGAAACCACAUGGUUUGCCAGGAUCUGUGAGCGAGGAGCUGUUGCUGUUCUGUGUGCCACUGUGCCCCGGCCAUUGGUGCAUUUGUGCUGGGCUUUGGAGCUGGGUGCCCAGGGUGAGGUCUCAGAUCUACUGCUUCCUGCUGUGCUAA